rnacentral:rRNA from 1 species
AAUUUUGGACAAUGGGGGAAACCCUGAUCCAGCCAUCCCGCGUGUAUGAUGAAGGCCUUCGGGUUGUAAAGUACUUUUGGCAGAGAAGAAAAGGUAUCCCCUAAUACGGGAUACUGCUGACGGUAUCUGCAGAAUAAGCACCGGCUAACUACGUGCCAGCAGCCGCGGUAAUACGUAGGUGGCGAGCGUUGUCCGGAAUUACUGGGCGUAAAGGAUUCGUAGGUUGAUACUUAAGUGGGAUGUGAAAUCCCCGGGCUCAACCUUGGAACUGCAUUUUUAACUGCCGAGCUAGAGUAUGUCAGAGGGGGGUAGAAUUCCACGUGUAGCAGUGAAAUGCGUAGAUAUGUGGAGGAAUACCGAUGGCGAAGGCAGCCCCCUGGGAUAAUACUGACGCUCAGACACGAAAGCGUGGGGAGCAAACAGG